GCUGGGCAUGGUGGCACGUGCCUGUAAUCCCAGCUACUCAGGAGGCUGAGGCAGGAGAAUCGCUUGAACCCAGGAGGUGGAGUUUGCAGUAGCCGAGAUUGCACCACUGCACUCCAGCCUGGGUGACAAAGUGAGACUCUGUCUCAA
ensembl:misc_RNA Metazoa_SRP Metazoan signal recognition particle RNA